GACGAACGCUGGCGGCGUGCUUAACACAUGCAAGUCGAACGGAAAGGCCCUGCUUGCAGGGUACUCGAGUGGCGAACGGGUGAGUAACACGUGGGUGUUCUGCCCUGCACUUCGGGAUAAGCCUGGGAAACUGUGGCGAAUACCGGAGAGGAGCCAUUUUUAGUGUGAGGGUGGGAAAGUUUUUUCGGUGUAGGAUGAGCUGGCGGCCUAUCAGGUUGUUGGUGGGGUGAUGGGCUACCAAGGCGGGGAAGGGUAGGCGGCCUGAGAGGGUGGACGGCCAAAUUGGGAAUGAGAAUCGGCCCAGACCCCCACGGGAAGGAGGCGGGGGGAAUAUUGGCAAAAGGGCGGAAGCCUGAUGCAGCGACGCCGCGUGGGGGAUGACGGCCUUCGGGUUGGAAACUCCUUUCGCUAGGGACGAAGCUUUUUGUGACGGUAACUAGAUAAGAAGCACCGGCUAACUACGUG
rnacentral:rRNA from 1 species